GACGAACGCUGGCGGCGUGCUUAACACAUGCAAGUCGAACGGAAAGGCCCUGCUUUUGUGGGGUGCUCGAGUGGCGAACGGGUGAGUAACACGUGAGUAACCUGCCCUUGACUUUGGGAUAACUUCAGGAAACUGGGGCUAAUACCGGAUAGGAGCUCCUGCUGCAUGGUGGGGGUUGGAAAGUUUCGGCGGUUGGGGAUGGACUCGCGGCUUAUCAGCUUGUUGGUGGGGUAGUGGCUUACCAAGGCUUUGACGGGUAGCCGGCCUGGGAGGGUGAACGGCCACAUUGGGACUGAGAUACGGCCCAGACUCAUACGGGAGGCAGCAGUGGGGAGGAUUGCACAAUGGGCGGAAGCCUGAUGCAGCACCGCCGCGUGCGGGAUGACGGCCUGCGGGUUGUAAACCGCUUUCGCCUGUGACGAAGAGUGAGUGACGGUAAUGGGUAAAGAAGCACCGGCUAACUACGUG
rnacentral:rRNA from 1 species